GGCCUGGAGAAUUCCAUGGACUGCAUAAGUCCAUGGGGUUGCAAAGAGUUGGACACAACUGGGCGACUUUCACUUCACUUCACUUGAAUCCCAAUCAGGAUUGCAACAGUAGAGGAUAGUGGACGGACUGCAAGGGCCAGGAUACAAGGAACCGAAGCACGGACAAGGAAAAGUGAUACCAGGACACAGUGGGAAGUAACAGCGUUUGACUAAAGUACAGAAUACAUGCUGCAGAAAAGGUGAGAAGUGACCCUGAAGGUUCCUGGAAGCUGACACUGGAACCCUAUACACGUCUGGGGAUUCCCAAGCUGCCAGUGUAAUUGCCAUCAGUAAAUAUUUAAGGGACAAAUGAAAAGAGAGGGAAGAGGACAGGGCAGCAGGAAAGAGACAAGGAAGCAAGAAAGAAAGGGAAGAGAGAGCAAAGUGAUAAUGACCACUGGCGUGAACGUUGGCAAAUCACAAACAGUAGGCAAAUUUCUUAAAGGAUCCAGGUUGUCUCAAUGGAAAGAGGAACAGGUUACUGGAGUGUUUGCAAACAGAUGGAGAAGUCUGAAGUCUGGUGAGUGGUUAGAGAUGAAAACAGGGUCAUUGGUCUCAAGAGUAUCUGUGGUCCCUGGUGGGAAGGUGAAGGAGUUACAUGUUGGUCCAGAGAACUCCAGUUUGAAACCAAGCCUCGGGGCUUCCCUGGUGGCUCAUUGGUAAAGAAUCUGCCUGCUAAUGCAGGAGACACGGGUUCGGUCCCUGGUUCAGGAAGACCCCACAUGCUGCAGAGCAACUAAGCCCAUGCGCCACAACUAUUGAACCUGUGCUCAGAGCCCUGGAGCUGCAACUAUUGAGCCCACGUGACCGCAGCUACUGAAGCCUGCGAGCCCUAGAGCCCAUGCUCUGCAACGAGAGAAGCCCUCGCAAUGAGAACCCUGCCCACCACAACUAGUGAGUAGCCGCUGCUCUCCACAACUAGAGAAAAGCCCCAGAAGCAAUGAAGAGCCAGUACCAUCAUGAGUAAAUAAAUAAGAAAUCAAGCCUGAUUGCUAUUAUAUGACACAGAAUUAUUGUCACCUCUGCAUUAAGCAGCCAGGCCUGGUUUGCAUUGCUCCUACUUACCAGGUGAAGAGAAAAAUCAAGAAAUUGCCCUGGAUUUGCUAAAAAAUGGAUUUUUACCCCUAUGAUUCUUAGGGGUAAAAAAAAAAGCACGUGGACAUCUCAUUGGAGGUUGCUUUAAAAAUCCAAAUCACAGGACUUGGGACUUCCAUGGUGGCCCAGUGGUUAAGACUCUACAUUUCCACUCCAGGAGAAUCUGGUUCAAUCCCUGUUUGGGGAACUAAGAACCCACCAGCCUCGAGAAGCAGCAAAAAAAAAAAAAAAUCCUGCCUGAUACUGGGUAUAUGAAAGUCGGCUGGCAGGAAACAGAGGGCCACCCAGGAAGCCCGCUUCCUCACAGGAGCUCCAGAGCCUGCAGAUGCCCUUCAGGUGGAUGUGUGGGACUCACAGAAUCUAGACCUCGAGGAUCAGAAGAGCCCGGUGCCCUGCGUUCUCCUGCUCAACACGAUACUGAGCCUGUGCUCUCGAGCCUGCCAUCUGCGACUACUGAGCCCAUGCACCCUAGAGCCCAUGCUCCACAACAAGAGAAGCCGCCGCAAUGAGAAGCCUGUGCACCGCAACAGAGAGUAGCCCACAUGCAGCACUGAAGACCCGGCGCAGCCGAAAAUAAAUAAAUACACAUAAAAUCUAAAAAAGUGUUUCCUAGCUCUGCCCACGGAAAAGGCCUAGAAACAAUGGGCACCCCUAGAGCACCCCUAUUGUGGUCUAC
ensembl:lncRNA